rnacentral:tRNA from 1 species
UUAAUUGAAGCCAAAAAGAGGUGUGUCACUGUUAAUGACAAGAAUGAAUUUUAUAGUUCCAAUUAAA